UGGCUCUCGCAUCGAUGAAGAACGCAGCGAAAUGCGAUAAGUAAUGUGAAUUGCAGAAUUCAGUGAAUCAUCGAAUCUUUGAACGCACCUUGCGCUCCUUGGUAUUCCGAGGAGCAUGCCUGUUUGAGUGUCUUGAAGUCAUCAACCCCGAACGUUUCUUCCGAGGGCGAUCGGCGGUUGGACAUGGGGGCUCUGCCCGCUCUACGAGCCGGCUCCCCUCAAAUGCUUCGGUUGGGCCUGCGGGUCGAACUCGACUGGGCGUUGUACCAUCCUCGCUCGAACGAGACGGACCCCUUCCGCGCCCCGCCUCGACCUGCCCCCCUGCGGGCGGUCAAUCAAGCUUUGAAAUCUGACCUCAAAUCAGGUAGGACUACCCGCUGA
rnacentral:misc_RNA from 1 species